rnacentral:rRNA from 1 species
UAAAGCGUGCGCAGCGGUAAUGUAAGACAGAUGUGAAAUCCCCGGGCUCAACCUGGGAACUGCAUUUGUGACUGCAUUGCUGGAGUGCGGCAGAGGGGGAUGGAAUUCCGCGUGUAGCAGUGAAAUGCGUAGAUAUGCGGAGGAACACCGAUGGCGAAGGCAAUCCCCUGGGCCUGCACUGACGCUCAUGCACGAAAGCGUGGGGAGCAAACAGGAUUAGAUACCCGAGU